AUCUUCCUACGGGGCGCAGCAGUGGGGAAUAUUGCACAAUGGGCGAAAGCCUGAUGCAGCAACGCCGCGUGAAGGAAGAAGGCCUUCGGGUCGUAAACUUCUGUCCUUGGGGAAGAAGAACUGACGGUACCCAAGGAGGAAGCCCCGGCUAACUACGUGCCAGCAGCCGCGGUAAUACGUAGGUGGCAAGCGUUGUCCGGAUUUACUGGGUGUAAAGGGCGUGUAGCCGGGCUGACAAGUCAGAUGUGAAAUCCGGGGGCUCAACCCCCGAACUGCAUUUGAAACUGUUGGUCUUGAGUAUCGGG
rnacentral:rRNA from 1 species